rnacentral:rRNA from 1 species
GACGAACGCUGGCGGCGUGCUUAACACAUGCAAGUCGAACGGAAAGGCCCUGCUUUUGUGGGGUGCUCGAGUGGCGAACGGGUGAGUGACAAGUGAGUAACCUGCCCUUGACUUUGGGAUAACUUCAGGAAACUGGGGCUAAUACCGGAUAGGAGCUCCUGCUGCAUGGUGGGGGUUGGAAAGUUUCGGCGGUUGGGGAUGGACUCGCGGCUUAUCAGCUUGUUGGUGGGUAGUGGCUUACCAAGGCUUUGACGGGUAGCCGGCCUGAGAGGGUGACCGGCCACAUUGGGACUGAGAUACGGCCCAGACUCCUACGGGAGGCAGCAGUGGGGAAUAUUGCACAAUGGGCGGAAGCCUGAUGCAGCAACGCCGCGUGCGGGAUGACGGCCUUCGGGUUGUAAACCGCUUUCGCCUGUGACGAAGCGUGAGUGACGGUAAUGGGUAAAGAAGCACCGGCUAACUAC